rnacentral:rRNA from 1 species
AUUGAACGCUGGCGGCAGGCCUAACACAUGCAAGUCGAGCGGAUGAGAGGAGCUUGCUCCUCGAUUCAGCGGCGGACGGGUGAGUAAUGCCUAGGAAUCUGCCCAGUAGUGGGGGACAACGAUUCGAAAGGAACGCUAAUACCGCAUACGUCCUACGGGAGAAAGUGGGGGAUCUUCGGACCUCACGCUAUUGGAUGAGCCUAGGUCGGAUUAGCUAGUUGGUAGGGUAAAGGCCUACCAAGGCGACGAUCCGUAACUGGUCUGAGAGGAUGAUCAGUCAAACUGGGACGGAGACACGGUCCAGACUCCUACGGGAGGCAGCAGUGGGGAAUAUUGGACAAUGGGCGCAAGCCUGAUCCAGCCAUGCCGCGUGUGUGAAGAAGGCCCUCGGGUCGUAAAGCACUUUAAGUUGGGAGGAAGGGCUUACAGCGAAUACCUGUGAGUUUUGACGUUACCGACAGAAUAAGCACCGGCUAACUUCGUGCCAGCCGCCGCCGUAA